rnacentral:rRNA from 1 species
UCAGGUGGCCGCAGAGAAUAGGCCCAAGCGACUGUUUACCAAAAACAUAGGUUUCUGCUAAGUCGCAAGACGAUGUAUAGGAGCUGACGCCUGCCCGGUGCUGGAAGGUUAAGGGGAUCUGUUAGAGCAAUCGAAGCAGUGAACUUAAGCCCCAGUAAACGGCGGCCGUAACUAUAACGGUCCUAAGGUAGCGAAAUUCCUUGUCGGGUAAGUUCCGACCCGCACGAAAGGCGUAACGAUUUGGGCACUGUCUCAACAACAGACUCGGUGAAAUUGUAAUUCCGGUGAAGAUGCCGGAUACCUGCGACAGGACGGAAAGACCCCAUGGAGCUUUACUGUAGCUUGACAUUGGGUCUUGGUACUACAUGUACAGGAUAGGUGGGAGGCUUUGAAACCAGGACGCCAGUUUUGGCGGAGCCAUCCUUGGGAUACCACCCUUGUAGUACUGGGACUCUAACCAUAGGCCAUGAAUCUGGUCUUGGGACACUGUCAGGUGGGCAGUUUGACUGGGGCGGUCGCCUCCCAAAAGGUAACGGAGGCGCUCAAAGGUUCUCUCAGUACGGUCGGAAAUCGUACGUAGAGUGUAAAGGCAAAAGAGAGCUUGAUUGCAAGACAUACAGGUCGAGCAAGGAUGAAAAUCGGACUUAGUGAGCCGGUGGGGCUGGGUGGAAGGGCCAUCGCUGAACGGAUAAAAG